rnacentral:lncRNA from 1 species
GCUCUCCCCAUCCCGCGGUAACCACGGAGGCACAGAUCGCAGCGAUCGUGCGGCAGAUGACCGUGUUGACGGACGCGGUCAAAUACCUUCAACCCACCCGGUUGCUGCACUCGUCGACGGAGCAAUCGACGGCGCAUUCGAUGCCCUCCAGGAGCAGCCGCCGAUGCCCGCAUCGAUCUCCGUCUCCUCCUCGGGAACGGUUGUCGUAGCGCUCCCAC